rnacentral:lncRNA from 1 species
GUAAUUAGAAUGUCACCACUUUCUUCUUCUCCUUUCUUGUUUACUAUCAGCAUUCUCUUGCCCCAUGCCUAGUUGCAGCUGGCUAUACGGCCGUUUGAUUACAAGUCAGAUUUCUCAAUUUCAUUUUAUUAUUACUUUUGCAGUUCAGUGACAACAUGUUUGUGUUAUGGGCCUGUGGGUCAUGAGCAAAUAAGGCCUUCCCCCUGUGACUUCACAGUUUGUCCAAUGCUGGUCUUCAUCCUGUGAAACUGUAGCCUUGUCCCACUUCCUCGAAUGGAACGUGUCAGCAUCCCAGUCCUCUUACAGCACCAGGCUCC